GGAGAGGUGCGGGAGUGGUUUAACCGGCACGCCUGGAGAGCGUGUGUACCUUAUGGUACCCUGGGUUCGAAUCCCAGCCUCUCCGCCA
rnacentral:tRNA from 1 species